rnacentral:lncRNA from 1 species
UAUUUUCUUUUUUGAUGUAAGCUCUCCUGGACAAUUGUUGUAUAUACGCCUUAUGUAUGUGACUUUUUUGUAUUUUUAUUUGCCUUCUAUUUUUCAUGUAAGAUCUUUUGGCCGAUUCUUAUGUAUACUCUCUUAUGCGUGAGAUCUACAUAUAGUAUUUUUAUUUGUGUUUUAUUUUUCAUUUUAGUUGUCUUGGCCAAUUUCUGAUUGUGAUGUGUUUGUGUGACUAUAACACACUUAGCAAUAUUUUUUAUUUGCUGAUCACACUUGCAAUAUUGCACAUUUCUAUGCUUUAAUAUAAUUAUGUGAUAUGAUUGUUUUUUAUUCAAAUUAUGGAAAGUGGUUUGGAAUGCUACAACAUCACCUUGGUCAAUGUCUCAUACAUGUUCUUAUGUAACAAUGCAUGCGCUCUUGACUAUGAUUUAAGUAUAUAAUGUUCCACAUGUCCCCUUUUUAAUUCCGUAGCGUAGCACGGGCAUCUUACUAGUUUAACUAAAAGCGCAAUUUUACCUAUCUGUGUACAAUAAGACCUUCCUACUGUUAUCGUUGACAUGUUUGCAGAAAUUACUUGACAAAAUUGCGAUCAUAUAUGCGAGUAUUCAUUUUUGAAGCAGGGCUCAUCUGCUCUUGGUGAACAUUACAAAAAAUACUAGAAAAAAUCAAAAAAUACCACUCCCUCCUAUCCAAAAUAAGUGUCGCGGUUUUGAACUAAAAUAAGUUAGUUCAAAACUGUGACACUUAUUUUAGAUCGGAGGUAGUAGAAUAUUCAUUUCUUAACCCGGCCUCAUCUACUUUUGAACCUAGCAAGCUGCAACCUUUAGAUCAUUUCGUGUUUAUGUACCAGGAUUUUACCUAGACAUCGUUCCUAACAAUAUUUAUGCACUUCGUUUUAGCGAAGUAAGGUUGAUCACUGCACUCGGCAUGCAGAUCUCUGAACAUCAACAGGUUCACCGGACAGUCGUCUAACCCCGACGCACCACCAUAUGCUACCAAAAGGAACUGUUCUGGGCUGCCAUCCGCGUGCCUCUCGAGCCAGCUUCUAAGCCCAAGCUGCGUGUGUGAUGUGUCGUACAAGGGCAUAUUGUCCUUCAUAGCACCAUCAUUUUCUGACCUCAGCAAUGAGUCGUACUAUCUUCUACUCGAAAACGAUAUGAAGACCAAGCUCUUGUCAUUCAAGGCCCCGGUCGACUCAAUUUCUCUUCAUAACCCAUUCUUUGAUGCGACCAACUACUUGCGGAUGAGCUUGGAGGUGUUCCCCAAUGGUAAGAUUCAGUUUGGGGAGUAGGAUAUUUCUAACAUCGGGUUCCUUCUGAGCAGUCAAACAUAUAAGCCACCCCAUGUUUUCGAUCCAUACUAUUUCAAUGCCCAAAGCUAUCCUUUUGCAAGGGGUAAGAUCGUUGAUGGAAAAGUUGUACUACAUUGUCAACUAUUUGUCAUUUCACCUUUGGUAAAAUCAGGAUCUUUUUAAGGUUCUUCAUAUCGAUUAUUGGUUGACAUUAUGAGUCUGUAGCAUAUGCUCCCUCCGUUCCUAAAUAUUUGUCUUUCUAGAGGUUUCAACAAGUGACUACAUAUGAAGCAAAAUGAGUGAAUCUACACUCUAAAAUAUGUCUAUAUACAUCCAUAUGUGGUAGUCCAUUUGGAAUCUCUAAAAAGACAAAUAUUUAAGAACAGAGGGAGUAAUAUGCAUCUUGUUUGUUCAUGAGCUUUAAAAGAAAUGCUUACUUAGAUCUUCCAAGGCCUCUAUUUCAAAUGAUUUAGUAGCAUUACGAUAGCUACUAUAAUAUUUGUUGGUGGAAAAUAAAUAGUCCUAUCCCGAAGCCCACCUAGCCCUACAUGGCUAGUCAACAUCUGUCCAAUCGAUUUAACAAGAUCCAAGAUGGUCAAACGAAAGUCCAAAUUUGUCAAUAAGGCUCAAGCUAGUCAACGGAAGUCCAAGCAAAUUGCCACGAUCAACAAGUCAAAAGAGAAGGCAGAACAAAUGGACAAAGUCAACAAUGACGGCAGAACACAAAGAAGGAUGUUCUUCUCCUGCUUUUCUAGAGUUGGGCUCCUUUGCUCUUUGUCUUCUUUUUUUACUUUGUCUUUUCAUUUCCUAACCUCAUUGACAUGUUGACCAUGACAUUGUGCUUGGACUUCCGGUUGAUUACCUUUGGACUUGUUGACUAGUUUGGACUUUUGGUUGAUUGUUUUUGGUCUUGUUGAGUAUCUUGGCUUUCACUAGGUGUCCACGAAGGACAAGGAACCCUAAGGAUGCGUUUGGUUGCCCGCACCGAUUUUGGCGUCUUUGCAUACACUUCUUAGAUGGGUCUGGCUGAUGAAAAACAACCUAUAAACCACCAAGUGCACAUUGUUUGGUUGCUCGCAUAUAGGCUAGCUGCAUGAGGGAACUAAUUUUGACCCGCUGCUUGGUUGGCCGCAUAGAAUUAGGUGCACAUAGGACACGUUGUUUGAUUGCAACCUGCAUUAGGUGCUAUCACCACUUCUCACUAGUGGUGAUCUUACCACACACGAUUAACAGUUCCACUCCUAGCUACGAAACAAAUUACGGUUCCUCAUAGCUACUAUCAAAUGGCAGUACGCAUUAUUAAGAUGGCAGUACGCAUUAUUAAGAGCCAAAUGGCUGAAUGGGGAAAGUUCAUCAUCCCUCCUUUUCCUCUUCAUCUUACCUCUUUUGUUGCUGGUGUUGUUCCUCUUCGUCUUCCUCUUCUGCUGCUGCUGCUCUUGCUCUUCUUCUUCUUCAGAUCCUUGUCUGGCCUCUGUUAUCCCACAUUGCCUGUGUCUACUCCAGCCUUUUGUUCUUCCAGGCUUCGUUGUCAAAUGCCUCAACACCAUGGCCACCGAGGUCAAGAUCGUCAGGCAUCACCUCUUCCUCCUCAGGCACCAGUUCGUCAAUGCCCCAUUGCAGGAUCCAGUUAUGCAGAAUGCAACAUGCAAGAACAAGUUUAACCUGGGUAGGGUAAGGGUGGAAUGGCCCAGGAUCUUGAACAUGUUCUUGAGAGCUCCAAAUGCCCUCUCAACCAUUACUCGAAGGCUGGAGUGUCUGAGAUUGAACAGCUCUUGUGGAGUCCUAGGGUAGUUCGUACCAAAGAACUCGUUCAGAUGGUACCUGGUAUUCCUGAAGGGUGGAAGAACACCUGGCCGACAUGCAUAGCCAGCAUCUCCUAGGUAGAACUUUCCAUCGGAGAUGUUGAUGCCAUUAGGACGACUGAUGUUGUCACUCAGUAUGUUAGCAUCAUGUGUUGACCCUUCCCAGCUAGCCAGCACAUAGGUGGACUUCAUAUCGAAGUCAACAACAGCAAGCACAUUCUGCCUUAUGUAGUGCUCCCCCCCUAAAUGCAGCAGCUUGUGACCUCAGCACUCUGGCAGUAACAUGAGUACCACCUAUUGCCCCAAUGCAAUCCUGAAAUGGCAAUACAAGAUUGUGUUAGUGCUCACAUUGAACUAUCCAAGCAUAUCAAGCAAUGAACUACAUACUGCAGUGCUCACCUUGAAGUAUGAAUACCAUCUUGGGCUUGUGUGAAUCUUGGUAGGAGUCCGCCCAGUUGGUGACUUGAUCAUCUCUCCUCUGAGCUCCCCAACAACAUACAACACUUGCUUGAAGUACCUUGAGAUGGUCUCCAUUGACUUCCUGAACGUGUUGUGGGUAACCCUGAACCUCUGGUUAUGGCCAACAAUAUGAAGGAACAUGGCGACUUGCUCUUCCACACUGGUGUGGAUGCUAUCUUCUAGCAGCCUCCUGGUCCUGAAGGUCUGAACAAGUCUGGCAAAUGGUGAUAUUUUCAUUCUAAGCAUCCAUAGAGCCUCUGUAUCGUUGCAGUUGUAUAUGUAGUUUAGAUUGGCGAUCCUCUCCUGCUCCUGCAUAAGCAUUGAAGCAUAUCUGAUGACAGGUCUCUCGGCACGACGAACAACUCUCUUGUGCAUGAACAUGACCCAUGCCUGAAUCAUAGCUAUCAGUGCUCCUGCUUGAAAUACCAACCACAUCUGUGCGUCCAUAACCUAGUCCACAUCGAGGGUGCGUUGAGCAAUGGGAAAAUCGAUCCUACACCUUGUCUAACGGCCUAACAACACACAUAACUUAGGGGACGGGCGAUGUUGCUUACCGGCAUCAGAGACGAGGACGACGAAGGGGGAUCACGGCUGAGUGAAGGACGAUUCGGCAGUUUCUGACUCGCUAGGAAUUGCCGAUUCGACAGUUUAUGACGAGCCAGGCUGAGGGCUGCUUUAAGCUUCGUGCGGAUGCGAGCCAGCCCACUAUGUGCGCAACCAAAUGCACAUUUCGUGGCCCAACUGGGCCUGGUUGCGAUUUCGUGGGCAACCAAACGUGCCCUAAGGUAUGAUUAUUUGUUUCUCCCUACACAACUUCUUCUCCUACAUUUGUUCUCAUGACAGCCUCUCUCUUCCACCGGAGCCUCAACCCUCCAUCCAUUGUUGUUCCAGGUCCUUUUCUUCUCCCUUUUGCGGUGGUUGUCGCCAUGACGUUCAACCCUUACACACAUCCUUUGAUUUCCUCUCCCCCUCUAUCCCUCUUCGUCUUUCUCAAUUGCCCUUCUGUUUCUUCUCGUCCGUGUCGUGUCUAAGUCAUUGUCAGGCGAAUGAUCGCGUCGAAGAUUUCUAUUUUUUUUUCAACUAAGCUUGAACCAGGGGGGCUUCUAAGCCUGCACGUGCUUUGUUUGCAUUUGUAGCACUGAUAGCAAAUCGGCAUGGCCAAUCGAGGGCGUUGAUGCGCCAUCCAACGGCUCACGCAUCGUGCGGCACAAGAAAAAAGAGGCGUCACUUGCCGAAGCUACCCGCUUCAGUCCCGAGCUCUCGGACCCAGAUGGCAUCCGCCUCGCCGGAACCCGCAGCGACCGAGACCGGCGACUCCGUCAAAAUCCGCCGCCUAGAGAUCGCCGACCGCGAGAGGGGCUUCCUACCCCUCCUCUCCCAGCUCUCCUCCUGCCCGGACCUCACCGAGUCCGAGUUCGCCGCGUGCUUCGCCAACCUCGCGGCCCUCGGCGACGACCACGUCAUCCUCGUGGCCGAGGACCCCGCCGCGGCUCCGGAGCGGCGGAUCCUCUCCACGGGGUGCCUCUUCGUGGAGCGCAAGUUCCUCCGCGGCGGCGGCAAGGUGGGGCACGUGGAGGACGUGGUGGUCGACGCCGCCGCGCGCGGCCGGGGGCUCGGGCUCCGCGUCGUGCGCCGCCUCGUGGAGACGGCGAAGGACGCCGGCUGCUACAAGGUCAUCCUGGACUGCACCCCGGAGCUGCGCGCCUACUACGCCAAAUGCGGCUUCGUGGAGAAGGGGGUUCAGAUGGCCGUGUACUUCUGAAUUCUGAUCCAUCCAUGGGGUAAUGCGCAACAGAGACUGCAUUUCUUUGUCCCGUCGCAUCUAUCCCUUUGUCUGUGGCAAUCUGUUAUCAUAUCAUUAUUCUGAACUUGUCUGUGUUAGUGACUGAGAAUGCUAUUUAUGGAAUCCCAACUUUAUCAUGUGGCUGUAUGGCUUUGGCCUGUUUCUGCUGCGUUCAUAAAAGAAAAUUCCGUGCUAUAUUGUCUUGGUUAAAUAACAGCGAUAAUUCUGUCGCUACUAUAAUGUUCCAAAUAUAGGCCAGUUAAUCGCCAUCUCGGUCAGUUAAUUGCUACUCAGGUGGGUCACCGAAUAGCCGAUAGUAACUGAUUUAUCAGCCGAUUAACUGCUGAUUCGCCUAUUUAUCCCUACUCAGCACCUGAAGGUACCAGUUACCGAUAUCCUGAACAUUGCCUACUAGUGUAAAUCUUGAAAGUUACUACUAGUUCUUUCGGUCAGUAAAGCUGUCGGGCUAAGCUUUGCCAACCAUAGACAAGUGAACCGGGGAUUUUCUGUUAGAGCUGAAUGAAGUUCUAUGCAUAGUACUGUAGAUUGUAAACCAUAACACCAUCAUAGUACCUGGUAGGAGCUGCUAUAGUGAAUCAAAUCUUUCUAGGCAUUUACCAAAUGAGCUAGCAUAGACACAUAAUCAUGCCUAUUCAAUCAAAUUCUCUGUCAUAAAGGUAAUCAUGUCUAACAGUGUACUGUUAUUGUUGCUGAAAGAACUUUUGGUACCGAGGCUCUUGACUCUUGAGGUUUCACUUUUAGAGAUUAGCCAACUGAUGCCCCGUGUAAAUAUUCAACAUGCAUCACCCUAUGGUUUGAGACAUUUUGUGGAGUGCAUGCUAUUAUGGUUCUACGCAGCUGGGUGACACUGCUAGGGUCCUGGAGACGGUAUCAAGAUAGCCUGUGCAUUUGCAGGAACAUGAUAAGUACUCCCUCCAUUCCAAAAUAUAGUGCGCCUGCACUUUCCGAGGUCCAACUUUGACCAUAAAUUUAACCAACGAGACCGACUGCGGCGGGAGAAAAAAUUAUAUAGUUGAAAACUUCUUUUGAAUACGAAUUCACUGGUAUAACUUUUGCUCCGUCGCAGUCGGUCUCGUUGGUUAAAUUUAUGGUCAAACUUGAAGCACGGGAAUAGAGGAAGCACUAUAUUUUGGAACGGAGGGAGUAGCAAUUACUGGUGGAUGAUGACUUGUCAGAUACUUAUGGGUUUGGUUUCUGGAAUGCUUAUUGGCUUAUAUUUUCACUUCCAUUUUCUGCUGGUGAUAUGUGACUGAGCGAGUACUAUCCUCCGCUCGGAACCCAACCACAGUUUGAAUUUGCUAAAUUGGUACCCAAGACAUUACAACUUACAAGCCAGUUCAACACCUUCAGCAUUCGGCACUUCUAAAAGGUUAUUGGAAACCAAUUUGUUAAUCAUUACAUGAAGAGUUAUUGGAAACUAAUUUCUAUCGUGGGCAUUUGCUAAUCUCUUUUCCCAUUAUAGGUUGUGUGGAAAUAUAAAUCUUGCAAUAUAACCUUCUAGUUUGCUUUACACCAACUUCCUUGGUCAUGAUAAAAAUAAUUAUGUUGUUUCAAUUGUUAUUUGGUUUCCAAGUCAACUCAAUUUGGAGUUAACAGGGUCAAUGUAGCGGUCACAUCAGAUACGAUUGUUCCACCUUCUAGUUUUGUUGAAUAAGGAUCUGCAACAUUUGCUUCCAUAUUGUCAUCCAGUACUCUAUUUUUGAAAAUCCUGCUCUGUAUAAAAAAAAUAAUGUUAGUUUUGUUUGUACUUGAUCAUUUGGUGUUUGAUUACAUGUGCUGAAAUACUUUUGAGAUCUUAUACGUAACUUCAUCUUCUUGUCACAGGUAAUUCAUGGCUAAUAGUCGAUCCAUCAAAGUUGAUCUAUGUCCUUGGGAGCCCUUCUGAAGAAAUUAGUACUGUCAUGGGGGCAGCUCUUAACCUGGCUGAUUUUCCAGUACCACAAUGGACCAUUGAGAAGCUUCCUUGAAGCUAAAUUCUUUUCCAGAAAAUACAAACUUCUAUCACGGGCUGGUACUGCUGAGCUCUCAUUCCCCUCCAUUCGAACUGGAUGUUAUACCAUGCACGUUAGAUGCUCUACCAAACAGUGGCUUCAGAAUAACAUGUCGGCUAGUUUACCGAGGUCAAUAUGAUUACCACUCUUUGUAGACUCAUUUGCUUACAACAGUGUAACUCGAUGAUAGUGUGAAGCCACAAAGGGUCUCUUUGUGGGAUUUAUUAAUCAUUAGGCAUAUUAUAAUCUGCCACACGGGAAUUCUCAAGAUCAUCUAGGAAGGAUUCUAGCCAGACCAUGGUUCUACCAUGAAGCCUCCCAAAGGAAGCUAGAAGCUCAUCCAAAGGAGUGUAUCUUGUCUUCUGUUGGGGUGUUAAAAGACAGCGUACUUUGCUGGCUGUUCGAUUCCCUUUGUUUCAGUUCCUGGAUUGUCAAAGAAGACAUGGGUUUUGGCUGUUUUAGUUUAUUUUUGCAUGAUGUUUGUAGUCAUAACCUCAGACAUAUGACCCCAAUUGUACCAUGGCUCUCUACAUAUGAUCCAUCCACAUUGGGCUUGAUGCAUCCCCUCAAUUGCUGGACAUUGAACAUUGUUGACAUGGGAAGUUGGGGGUAAAGCUUUUUUGCUUCAACUGUUGCGCCCCAGGGGGUUGUAAGCUCCUGACGGAGAAGAUCUAAAGAAAACGAGACAAUGAACAAGAUGUGAUGGCGGAACCAGGGAUCCCACAACUAUUCCAAACACAAACUUCCUGCAUGAUCGAGUCUCAAACCUACACGAUGUUUACCAGGCGCAUAUAACUCAUUGCCAGGAGUCUCAAACCUAUAAAGUUCCUAGCAAGGAGUUCACCAGCCUCGAAGGUAAUAUCAUCACAAGGAAUGACGAACGACCAGAGUCAAACAACAAGUCAAAACUUCAAGCACUUGAACAAAAUAUCCAACGUCUCAAAUCUUCUAUCAAGAAGUCAUGGAACAUCAUGAACAGUAGAUAACAAUAAGCUAAAGCAAGACUUCCCAAUAUGCUCUCAGCAGAUAUGUAUUAAGUUCUAACUGAUCGAUACGACAGACAGGGGGUUUAGUCCUCAUCCUCCACAACCUUGGUACCCAAACCUUUAAGACCUUCCUGGGGAACUUCAGCAACUGUGACCAGAGAGUACAGCUCCUCCUUAGCGUCCUCCUCGUCAUUCCUCUUGCGGGCAAUCCUGACACGGACUCUCCUCGGGACACUCCUGAUGCCACUGCUCCAGAUGUGCUUGUUGAGCUUCACGUCAAUGCGGACAUCGUUGGUUCCCAUGGCCUUCUGUGCAAACUUCCUGAUCUCCUUGAUGGCAUUUGGUGCCUUCUUCUUGAAGGUGCUGUUCAAUAGAAUGAAGCUACCAUUAGUGAUUGAUAUAAAUAGAGGAUUUUGUAACCAGAAAGAAAGCAUGAGAAAGAUAGAUGAAACAUUACGACAUAAGCAACAUAGAAAUGUAAUAUAUAAAACACAAAACAAAACAAAGCAAGUGGAGAAAAUAUAUUUCAUCUCAAUGUAGUGCCCAAAUGGAACACAUGACAGCAUAUGAAGGCAGCAAGUGUAACGAUGAGUAGCAUCUAUGUACCGGUCAUGUAACUGUAUCAACCACAAGAUUUAAAGACAGAUACCUGACUAUGACCGGGCAUAAUGGACAAUCUAUAAGAUCAAAUGACAACCUAGUUUCAAUGUAGAGCCCAUAUGUAACACAUGGCAGCAUAUGAAGGCAGCAAGUGCAACGAUGAGCAACAUCUGUGUACCGGGCAUGUAACUGUAUCAACCACUAAAUUUAUAGACGGAUACCUGACUAUGACCGGGCAUAAUAGACAAGAAAGAUCAAAUGAUAAAAUCUAGUUUUAGUGUAGAGCCCAAACGGAACACGUGGUAGCAUUUGAUGGCAACACAUGUAACGAUGAGCAGCAUCUAUUUACCGGUCAUGUAACUGUAUCAACCACAAUUUUAAGACAGAUACCUGACUAUGAGCAGACAUAAUGGGCAGAUUAUAUGAUCAAAUAGAUAAUAAUGUUUAGUUUUAAUGUGGCGCCCAAAUGGAACACGUGAAAGCAUAUGGAGGCAACACAUGUAACGAUGAGCAACAUCUAUUUACCGGGCAUGUAACUGUAUCAACCACAAUUUUAAGACAGAUACCUGACUAUGACCGGGCAUAAUGAGCAAAUUAUAUGAUCAAAUAGAUAAUAAUGUUUAGUUAUAAUGUAGCGCCCAAAUGGAACACGUGAAAGCAUAUGGAGGCAACACAUGUAACGAUGAGCAACAUCAAUGUACCGGACAAGUAACUGUAUCAACCACAAUUUCAAGACAGAUACCUGACUAUGUCCGGGCACAACUGAUCAAUAAACUUACUAGAUUAACAAACAAACAAAUAGAAAGCAGAAUAUACAGCCCAAAUGGAACACAUAGUAGCACCAAGAGAAGCCAUACGUGUAACGAUGAGCGGAGUUAAUCUCUCGGGCAUGUAACUGUGCGAAACCACAUGAUUUAGAAGGCAGACACCUGACUAUACCCGAUUAAUAACACCUAAUAGAAUGGCACAGAUCGAAGAUCCACGUGAAAAUAAUGUGGGGUCAGAUACAAGAGCAGAAUCCAAGAGAUCGGGAUACCGCUCGGUCAUGCGAUCCCUAGUAUCAUCUAGCUGGAAGGAUUUCGAUCCAUACAGGUGUGACAGCCAUUCACGAGCCCACAUAGUGCUCGCAGGCAGCAACCUUUCACACCAGCAUCUCCACCAGGAGGGCCCGUAAGCGCCAUGGCGACACCCCGUGAAGCCCGGAGGCGGAAUCUGACUAGCGGAUCUACCGGGAGCGCGGAGCUCGGGAAUGGAGGGGGCGGGUGAGGAGGGAGUAUACCAUCCAUGGAGGCGCUUGUGGAGGUUGACGGUGUACUCGCGUGUCACCACCUCGUCCUUGCGCGGGCCGGGGGCGCGCUUCUUCUCCGACAUCUCCGACGGCCUCCUUUCGCCCUGCUCCUCUCUUGGCUUCGGUGGAGGCUGCGGCGAGAGGAGAUAAACCCUAGUGGGGAACGGCAGGUCGCAAGGGGUCGCGGCUUUAUAGCGGGGGAAAUUAGGGCUUGCUGGCUGACUGGGCCUCUCCGGGAUGUUUCGUGACGGCCCGUUUCAGUAGGCCCUUCGUCCAUCUGUUAUGUUUUUUUCUUUCUUUUUGUCAGUGAAUCUGUUAUGAAAUUUUAGUGUGUUUGGUUUUGGGCCCAAGCGAAUUCCACCAAAAACUUUGUUGCCGGUAGUUUGAUUAAUGUUUCUCUCCACAUAAUUUGGCGAAUUCUGGCUGGAAAAAUGGAAUAACGUUGACCAACGAGCAUAGUCAAAUCGGGAAAAAAAUCUAAGCAAAAGCCAAGAUUUAGGCCAUGGCCCAAAAUUGGUACGGCUGAAUUGUUAAUUAUUUCGACACACUAGGUAAACUUUUUUUUGGAGGAUAGGAUUGGAAAUUGAGAGGAAGCAAAUCGUCCAAUUUGCUAUUAUUCCUCUUGAACUAUUUUUUUUAUGGAGCGAACAGUCUAACUUGCUUCAUUCAAUUAGUCAACUGGUCAAUAUGCCCAUUGAUGCUUUAGAAUUUUGAUAUUAGCAUGGCAUUCAACAAGGCUUAACAGAAAAUAUAUGUAACAAAAUGCACACGGUGAGUGACUCUUGUACCGCUGCAAUCAAAUUGAAGUUAAGAGUCAAAUAUGUAGAGGUAAGAUUUACUUUUUAAAUAUAUUUUUGAAACGCGGUUCCUUACAGCCCGAUUCAUUAAAAAGGGUUGAAGAGAAUUGCCCGGUUAAUGAAUGGAAACCCGGGCUAAAACCAUUACAACAUGCCCACAAGAAAGGGCACCCGCCGACUUGACUGCCCACAGGACCCACACACACUGCCGAGAAGAGGACACCGUCGAGGUUCCCUACAAUGUCAUCGUCAUCACUUCUCCUCGAGCAAGCGACUUCGACUUCUUCGCGGACGACUCAUCGAGACGACUCCGAACGAACGACACAUGAGAACAAAGUCGGCCUAUGCCAAACAGUCGGCCAAACGCGUCGAGGACUAGCCAACUCCGACUUCGGCCACAGACUCGUAAAAGAAAGAAACACGCCUUGCUCCAACAUAGCUAGAACUGCACAUCAACCUCCAUCGUUGUCGCUGCAUUGCCCCGCAACGCUACAGCUCUGACUUCUCACUGAAUUACACGUCGAACGGUCGAUGACGAAGGACUAGCAUCGACUCUGCUCCUCAAGCCACCAUUAUCGUUGCCACAUGAGUCGCAAUCCCACCGGGGCAAGACAGCUGCCCCGCCACCUGCACUCGCAUCACCCAUCGGGCACUGAUGACCCACAAGUAUAGGGGAUCUAUCGUAGUCCUUUCGAUAAGUAAGAGUAUCGAACUCAGUGAGGAGAAGAAAGAAAUGACAAGCAGUUUUCAGUAAAGUAUUCUCUGCAAGCACUGAAAUUAUCGGUAACAGAUAGUUUUGUGAUAAGGUAAUUCGUAACGGGUAACAAAUAACAAAAGUAAACAAGAUGCAGCAAGGUGGCCCAAUCCUUUUUUAGCAAAGGACAAGCCUGGACAAACUCUUAUAUAAAGGAAAGCGCUCCCGAGGACACAUGGGAAUUAUCGUCAAGCUAGUUUUCAUCAUGCUCAUAUGAUUCACGUUCGUUACUUUGAUAAUUUGAUAUGUGGGUGGACCGGUGCUUGGGUACUGCCCUUCCUUGGACAAGCAUCCCACUUAUGAUUAACCCCCCUCGCAAGCAUCCGCAAGUACGAAAGAAGAAUUAAGGUAAACCUAACCAUAGCAUGAAACAUAUGGAUCCAAAUCAGCCCCUUACGAAGCAACGCAUAAACUAGGGUUUAAGCUUCUGUCACUCUAGCAACCAUCAUCUACUUAUUACUUCCCAAUGCCUUCCCCUAGGCCCAAACAAUGGUGAAAUGUCAUGUAGUCGACGUUCACAUAACACCACUAGAGGAAAGACAACAUACAUCUCAUCAAAAUAUCGAAUGAAUACCAAAUUCACAUGACUACUUAUAAGAAGACUUCUCCCAUAUCCUCAGGAACAAACAUAACUACUCACAAAUCAUAUUCAUGUUCAUAAUCAGAGAGGUAUUAAUAUUCAUAAAGGAUUUGAACAUAUAAUCUUCCACCGAAUAAAUCAACUAGCAUCAACUACAAGGAAUAAUCAACACUACUAGCAACCCACAGGUACCAAUCUGAGGUUUUGGGACAAAGAUCGGAUACAAGAGAUGAACUAGGGUUUGAGAGAAGAUGGUGCUGAUGAAGAUGUUGAUGGAGAUUGACCCCCUCCUGAUGAGAGGAUCGAUGGUGAUGACGAUGGUGACGAUUUCCCCCUCCCGGAGGGAUGUUUCCCUGGCAGAACAGCUCCCCCGGAGCCCUAGAUUGGUUCCGCCAAGGUUCCGCCUCGAGACGGCGAUGCUUCGUCCUGAAAUCUUUCUUCUGAUUUUUUUCCAGGGUGAAAGACACCUUAUACCAGAAGAUGGGCAUCGGGGGCCUACUAGGUGGCCCACGAGGCAGGGGCGCGCCCUCCACCCUCGUGGCCGGUGGGUGGCCUCCCUCUGGUGCUUUCUUCGCCCAAUAUUUUUAAUAUAUUUCAAAACUGACUUUCGUGGAGUUUCAGGGCUUCUGGAGUUGUGCAGAAUAGGUCUCUAAUAUUUGCUCCUUUUCCAGCCCAGAAUUCCAGCUGCCGGCAUUCUCCCUCUUCAUGUAAACCUUGUACAAUAAGAGAGAAAAGGCCUAAGUAUUGUGACAUAAUGUGUAAUAACAACCCAUAAUGCAAUAAAUAUCGAUAUAAAAACAUGAUGCAAAAUGGACGUAUCAACUCCCCCAAGCUUAGACCUCGCUUGUCCUCAAGCAGAAGCCGAUAUCAAAAAAUAUGCCCACAUCUUUAGAGAUAGAGGUGUCGAUAAAAUAAAAUACGGACAUGAGGGCAUCAUGAUCAUUCUUAGAAUAGCAACAUAUAUAUAUUGUCAUAUGAUUUCUUAUGCUAAAGUAACAAUCUAUUCACAAUGUAAAGUAUGAAUCAGAAACUUCAUUGAAAAACUAGCAAACUAUAACAACAUCGGAAAGAGUCAAUAUAAGAGCUUUUCAGCAAGUCCACAUACUCAACUAUCAUUUAGUCUUUCACAAUUGCUAACACUCACGCAAUACUUAUGGGUAUGAAGUUUUAAUCGGAUACAGAGAAAGUUAGGGGCUUAUAAUUUUGCCUCCCAACCUCUUACCUCAAGGGUAAUGUCAACAAUAAUGCUUUAUGAAAACCCACAUCCAAUUGGAUAUAUAUAUCGGGAUCUUUCCAACACAUAGUGCUUGCCAAAGGAUAAAGUGUAAAAAGGAAAGGUGAAGAUCACCAUGAAUCUUGUAUAAGGUAUAAGACAAAAAUAAAAGAUAGGCCAUUCGCAGAGGGAAGCAGAGGUUGUCAUGUGCUUUUAUGGUUGGAUGCACAAAAUCUUAAUGCAAAAGAACGUCACUUUAUAUUGCCACUUGUGAUAGGGACCUUUAUUAUGCAGUCCGUCGCUUUUAUUUAUUCCAUAUCACAAUCUCGUAUAAAGCUUAUUUUCUCCACACUAAUAGAUCAUACAUAUUUAGAGAGCAAUUUUUAUUGCUUGCAACAAUGACAACUUACUUGAAGGAUAUUCAAUCCAUAGGUAGAUAUGGUGGACUCUCAUGGCAAAACUGGGUUUAAGGAUUUUUGGAAGCACAAGUAGUAUCUCUACUUGGUGCAAAGAAUUUGGCUAGUAUGAGGGGAAAAGGUAAGCUCAACAUGUUGGAUGAUCCAUGACAAUAUAAUUUAUUUUGGAUAUAAGAAAACAUAACCCAUUACGUUGUCUUCCUUGUCCAACAUCAACUUUUUAGCAUGUCAUAUUUUAAUGAGUGCUCACAAUCAUAAAAGAUGUCCAAGAUAGUAUAUUUAUAUGUGAAAACCUCACUUUCUUUAUUACUUCCUAUUAAUUGCAACGAUGACCAAAACUAUGUUUAUCAGCUCUCAACAACUUUUAUUCAUCAUACUCUUUAUAUGUGAAGUCAUUACUCUCCAUAAGAUCAAUAUGAUCUCUUUAUUUCUUUUUAUUCUUUCUCUUUUUCCUUUUAUUCCCUCAAGAUCAUAGCAAGAUAACCAAGCCCUCGACUCAAGACUAAUAUUUAUUAUAUAUAGCUCACGGGCUCGAUUACAUAGGUAAGGAUCAACACAAAAACUCAAAGCUAGAUCAUACUAAACUUUAUUCUACUAGAUCAAGAUAUAACCAAAAGGAUCGAACUAAAAAACGGUAAAGAUAGAAGUGUGAUGGUGAUACGAUACCGGGGCACCUCCCCCAAGCUUGGCAGUUGCCAAGGGGAGUGCCCAUACCCAUGUAUUUAUGUCCCUUUCUUCGGAGUUGGUGAUGAUGGAGUUGUUGAUGAGAAGUUGUGUCACACAUCGAGCGUAGGAGAUUCUCCAAUUUGCGAAUAAUGCCCUUGAGUGCGGUGAUGUAUUCUUGCAACAAAAUAUUUCCAACCUCGUGAACUUCAAAGGUUGCUUAAGCAAUCAUCAAAACCACUUCAAAGAGUGCCCCGAAAUUUCUACCGGGGAGUCAAGACGAAAACGUGUCCAACCCCUAUGCAUAAGUUCACGAGGUCACGGAACUCGCAAGUUGAUCACCAAAACAUACAUCAAGUGGAUCACGUGAUAUCCCAUUGUCACCACAGGUAAGCACAUGCAAGACAUACAUCAAGUGUUCUCAAAUCCUUAAAGAUUCAAUCCGAUAAGAUAACUUCAAAGGGAAAACUCAAUUCAUCACAAGGAGAUAGAGGGGAGAAACAUCAUAAGAUCCAACUAUAAUAGCAAAGCUCGCGAUACAUCAAGAUCGUGCCAAAUCAAGAACACGAGAGAGAGAGAGAGAGAGAGAGAGAGAUCAAACACAUAGCUACUGGUACAUACCCUCAGCCCCGAGGGUGAACUACUCCCUCCUCGUCAUGGAGAGCGCCGGGAUGAUGAAGAUGGCCACCGGAGAGGGAAUCCCCCCUCCGGCAGGGUGCCGGAAUGGGUCUAGAUUGGUUUUCGGUGGCCAUAGAGGCUUGCGGCGGCGGAACUCCCGAUCUAGGUUUCUUUCUGGAAGUUUGGGGUUAUAUAAGAGGUGUUGGAGUCGGGAACAAGUCAGGGGGGUCCCUAAUACAUCCAUUUUGCAUCAUGCUUUUAUAUCGAUAUUUAUUGCAUUAUGGGCUGUUAUUACACAUUAUGUCACAAUACUUAUGCCUAUUCUCUCUUAUUUUACAAGGUUUACAUAAAGAGGGAGAAUGCCGGCAACUGGAAUUCUGGGAUGGAAAAUGAGCAAAUAUUAUAGACCUUCUGCACAGCUCCAAAAGUCCUGAAACUUCACGGAAAUCAUCUUCAGAAUAUAUAAAAAAUAAUGAGCGCAAGAAGUUCCAGAGGGGGGCCACACCCUGCCCACGAGGGUGGGGGCGCGCCCUACCCCCUGCCUCAUGGGUCCCCUGGUGGCCCUCCGAUGCCCAUCUUCUGCUAUAUGGAGUCUUUCGAUGAGGAAAAAAAAUCAUAAUCCAUCCUUCCGGACGAGACUCCACCGCCACGAGGCGGAACCUUGGCGGAACCAAUCUAGGGCUCCGGCAGAGCUGUUUUGCCGGGGACACUUCCCUCCGGGAGGGGGAAUUCAUCGCCAUCGUCACCACCAACGCUCCUCUCAUCGGGAGAGGGCGAUCUCCAUCAACAUCUUCACCAGCACCAUCUCAUCUCAAACCUAGUUCAUUUCUUGUAUCCAAUUCUUGUCUCUAAGUCCAGGAUUGGUACCUGUGUGUUGCUAGUAGUGUUAAUUACUCCUUGUAGUUGAUGCUAGUUGGUUUAUUUGGUGGAAGAUCAUAUGUUCAGAUCCUAUAUGCAUAUUAAUACCCCUCUGAUUAUGAACAUGAAUAUGAUUUGUGAGUAGUUACGUUUGUUCCUGAGGACAUGGGAGAAGUCUUGCU